rnacentral:rRNA from 1 species
ACGGAAGGCAGCAGUGAGGAAUAUUGGUCAAUGGGCGGAAGCCUGAACCAGCCAAGUCGCGUGAAGGAUGAAGGUAUUAUGUAUUGUAAACUUCUUUAGACGCAGAGAAAUAAGGGGCUCGAGAGCCCUGAUGCUAGUAUGCGUAGAAUAAGGAUCGGCUAACUCCGUGCCAGCAGCCGCGGUAAUACGGAGGAUCCGAGCGUUAUCCGGAUUUAUUGGGUUUAAAGGGUGCGUAGGCGGUAUGGUAAGUCAGUGGUGAAAUGUCUCAGCUCAACUGGGAACGUGCCAUUGAUACUGUCGUACUAGAAUUCGGAUGCCGUGGGAGGAAUGUGUAGUGUAGCGGUGAAAUGCUUAGAUAUUACACAGAACACCGAUUGCGAAGGCAUCUCACGAAUCCGACAUUGACGCUGAGGCACGAAAGUGUGGGGAUCAAACAGGAUUAGAUACCCUGGUA